rnacentral:rRNA from 1 species
UACGGAGGAUCCGAAGCGUUAUCCGGAAUCAUUGGGUUUAAAGGGUACCGGUAGGCGGUUUGGUAAGUCAGGUGGUGAAAGCCCAUCGCUCCAACGGUGGAAACGGCCGAUUGAUACUCGCCAGACUUGAAUUAUUAGGAAGUAACUAGAAUAUGGUAGUGUAGCGGUGAAAGUGACUUCAGAGAUUACGAUGGAAAUACCAAUUGCGAAGGCAGGUUACUACUAAUAGGAUUGACGCUGAUGGACGAAAGCGUGGGUAGCGAACAGG